rnacentral:rRNA from 1 species
UACGUAGGUGGCAAGCGUUAUCCGGAUUUAUUGGGCGUAAAGGGUGCGCAGGCGGUCUGUUAAGUUUGAGGUGAAAGCGUUGAGCUCAACUCAAUCGAGCCUCGAAUACUGGCAGACUAGAGUGCAGAAGAGGGUAUUGGAAUUCCAUGUGUAGCGGUAAAAUGCAUAGAUAUAUGGAGGAACACCAGUGGCGAAGGCGGAUACCUGGUCUGUAACUGACGCUCAGGCACGAAAGCGUGGGGAGC